rnacentral:lncRNA from 1 species
GUAUGAUCCUUUUGGAAGCAAUAUUUGGAUGUAAUUCUUUUUCAAAAGAAAAAUAUUUGGAUGUUAUGAUUACGGAAUACAUUAUAAACACCAUACCAGAAAGAAAAUGAAAAAAAAAGAAUCUUGCUUUUCACACACGAGUUCUACUUUAGUUUUUGAAGUCAAAAACGUUGUCGGUGCGCACUGAGAAGAUAGAGGAAAUGGAUUAUCAAAAGAUGAGAACUACUUUGCUUUUAAAGACUUUCUCACAAAGACUAAUGAUAGAUGAAUAGAAGAAUGAUUUCACGAGGAAGAAAACAAAAGUAAAAUAAAAAUAUCAUUUUGAUUAUCUAUAAAUACUUUACUUACACAUGCACUUGUGUAAUGUGUUUGAACAUUUUGAGCACCAUGGUGUCAUCUCUUUUAGGUCAAGCUUUUACCCAACACAACCAAAUCACUCAAAACAAAAGUAUUCUUUUCAUUUCUCACAUCCACCAUAUUUUCAUUUCUUCCUCUCGCUAAUUAUUCUAGUUUAUCAAGCAAGUCAAUAUCCGGACGUUAUAUAUUCCAAACAUUGUUCACAACGAUUAA